rnacentral:rRNA from 1 species
GGAGGCUUACAGGGCAGUCGAGGGGCAUCGGGAGGGAACUUACUUUCCUUGCCGGCGACCGGCGCACGGGUGAGUAACACGUAUGCAACCUGCCCUCUUCAGGGGGACAACCUUCCGAAAGGGAGGCUAAUCCCGCGUAUAUCGGUUUCGGGCAUCCGUUAUCGAGGAAAGAUUCAUCGGAAGAGGAUGGGCAUGCGGCGCAUUAGCUUGACGGCGGGGUAACGGCCCACCGUGGCGACGAUGCGUAGGGGUUCUGAGAGGAAGGUCCCCCACACUGGUACUGAGACACGGACCAGACUCCUACGGGAGGCAGCAGUGAGGAAUAUUGGUCAAUGGGAGAGAUCCUGAACCAGCCAAGCCGCGUGAGGGAAGACGGCCCUAUGGGUUGUAAACCUCUUUUGUCGGAGAACAAAACCCGGGACGUGUCCCGGACUGCGUGUAUCCGAAGAAAAAGCAUCGGCUAACUCCGUGCCAGCAGCCGCGGUAAUACGGAGGAUGCGAGCGUUAUCCGGAUUUAUUGGGUCUAAAGGGUGCGUAGGCGGUCCGUUAAGUCAGCGGUAAAAUUGCGGGGCUCAACCCCGUCGAGCCGUUGAAACUGGCAGACUUGAGUUGGCGAGAAGUACGCGGAAUGCGCGGUGUAGCGGUGAAAUGCAUAGAUAUCGCGCAGAACUCCGAUUGCGAAGGCAGCGUACCGGCGCCAGACUGACGCUGAGGCACGAAAGCGUGGGGAUCGAACAGGAUUAGAUACCC